AUCCAAUCCAGAAUGAUCUAGUUAUUUUCUUCGUUUUAGUCCAUUGUCUGCAUGUCCAUCCUUUCCAAGUAGCUCUUGGUUUCAUCGUAGUCACCAAAGUGUAGGCACUCGGUAUUUUCAGUUAGUGUUGCAUUUCAGCUUUCCCGUUGUCACAGUAGUAAGGCGAUUCAAUGUCCAGGAUUCCUCGAAUAUUCACGUUAUUACAAUCACAGAUGGAUGCGUAGAUAGGGUAAGUAGGGUUAAGUGAAUGAAGGAAGCAAAGAAUGAGUAGUAGUGUUUGCAUCUGUGGAGAAAAUGUGAGGAUUUGGUAAUUUUUUUCUUCAUAACGCCUUCGUAAGUUGUGUCGGUGGUUUGUUAUAUGGUCGUUUAGGAUUUGUUCACGGUAUCGGUUGGGUGUUAUGGGACCGAGGAAAAGGACGAACGUCCUGGGAUCGUCGGCUCGACGACGAAGAGGAAAAGAAAAGGACGCUGGACUAGGGAGAGUCGAGCGGAGUAUCGAGUUCAGUACGAUGCUCGACAGUCAUUGUAUUGUUCUAGUGUCGAAACCAUAAAACAUUUCAUCUGUAUAAAACGUUAUGGGCCCAGUCGACGAUUUUAUUUAAUAAAAUCAUACUCUAGAAUGGCUGCUAACUUUUCAUUAGAGGUGAUUGAACACACCAGAAAGUUCGAUGGUAAAGACUUUACUACCUGGAAACACAACAUGGAGAUGAUGUUCUAUCUUAAGAACUUGAAACAUCGUUGAGGGUGAGCAUCUACUCACAGUUCGAUGAAAAUGUAGGAAAUCCUAUGCUUGUCAAUGGUGACGAGAUAGAUGAAUGGAAAAUGAGAGAUUGCUAUGGAAGGUUCCUCAUCUUUAAUAGCUGUGACGAAGUUAGAAAACUCGUGCUACUUAACAGCAGAACUAGCAACGAAAUGUGGACUAGAUUGAAGACACAGUUUUUACAGCGUGCAGCUGAUAAUAAACAUCUUUUGCACAGAGAUUUUCUCAAUCUUCGACCGACACCCAGUCAAGACAUAAUGAUCCACAUCUUCGCACUAGAAUCGAUUGCUGCGGAACUUAACGAUCUAGGUGUGAACAUCACUGAACAUGACUUAAUUACCACGAUCAUUUGCAGUCUUCCUGCAAGAUUUGGAUUUCUCUCAUCAUCGUGUGAUAAUGUACCAAACAACGAAAGAACUAUGGAUGCCCUGCGAGCUAGAAUUGUUUCAGAGCAAAGACAUUGAAGUGAAAAGAGUGGAAGAAGAGGGAAACCACAUCCCAUCAAAUGAAAUCAUGAUCAAUGCUCUUCAAGGAUUUGGGAGUCAAAGAGGAUCUUUGAAUCGUAGGCUUCGAGGUGGUUGCAGUCGUGGUAGGGGUCCCCCACGAGAUUCGUUUAAUAGAAACAAUGCAAAGUGUACCUAUUGUGGGAAAAAAAGAUACUACGAAUUUGUAUGUCGACUUCGCAUUGCUAACCAAGGAGAGAAGCAACCCUCUCUGACUAAAAGACCCAAUAACGAUGGAGAAGGGAGUGACUCUCAGCGACGAGUGGAUUUCUCCCUCAUUUCCGAUUGCUGUUUGUCAGCUAUUGAGGCUGAUGCUAUUGUUCUAGACUCUGGAGCAUCUAGAGACAUGAGUGGAGAACGUUCAUACUUCGUGGAACUGAGUGACAUCACACCUGGUAGUUGGCCGAUUAAUGGCAUUGGGGGUUAACUUCUUCAUGCUGUUGGAAUGGAAACCAUCAAGUUGACUACCAGUGUAAAAGGAGUAAACGUCAAUAGAGAAUUGAAAAAUGUCCUAUGCGUUCCUGGUUUGGGGGUGACU